GUAACUUAUUAAAAAUUAAGGAUAAAGAGCGCGAUUUAAAAUCCCUCGGCCUUAAGGCUGUGCGGGUUCAAGUCCCGCCCUGGGCACCA
rnacentral:tRNA from 2 species